GGCCAAAAGAACAAAGAGAAAACGAUACCGUACGAGUAAGUCACGACGAGUUGGUCGCGGAAGGGCUGAUUCCGGCGGAUUCGUGGUUGACGUCGGCGGCGAUCUCGUCGGAGAGAAUGCGGUGCCACUGCUAGGUCGCGAGAUCGGAAACGGCGGCGUGAACGGCGAUAUCGCGCGGACAGCGGCGUCGUGGUUGUGCGCGGCGACGAGAACCUGGCUUCGACUUAUUGCAUCGGCUUGAAAUAGUAAGUGGAGGUUGGUUCGAGAAAAUCUCGGGUUAUACUGUCCUUGAGAACCUAUCAUCUUCCUCAUGUUUUGAGGACUCUUUUCCUCUCCAGGCUUACCAUGCUACUGGUUCAAGUAAAGUAGAUCUAUUUGCUGUAAGAAAUUAUCAUAUUGGCAUGACGCAAUUGAAGAUGGAUGAAGAGCUUGACGCCCACGAAAAAAAUUUGAAGAUGGAGAUCUUUCUUGUAAUCUAAAGAACUUUGUAAUAAUCACUUGUAUCUUAAGAAUUUUAGUGAUUUAAGAACUUUGUCAUGGUGGUCUAACACUUUGAUGCAAAUGGUCUAAAUUUGUAAAUCCAAAUGUGUAUUCAUCUUUGUUGUU